GCUCGUAGUUGGAUUUCUGGCGGGAGCGGGUGGUCCGGCACUUUGUGUUGGUACUUUCCUGUCUCUUGCCAUCCUUGGGUCUAAGCUGUCUGGCAUUUAGUUGUCGGGCAGUGGCUGCCCAUCGUUUACUGUGAAAAAAUUAGAGUGUUCAAAGCAGGCUUAUGCCGUUGAAUAUAUUAGCAUGGAAUAAUAAGAUAGGACCUUGGUACUAUUUUGUUGGUUUGCGCACCGAGGUAAUGAUUAAGAGGGACAGUUGGGGGUAUUCGUAUUCAAUUGUCAGAGGUGAAAUUCUUGGAUUUCUGGAAGACGAACUACUGCGAAAGCAUUUACCAAGGAUGUUUUCAUUAAUCAAGAAC
rnacentral:rRNA from 1 species